rnacentral:rRNA from 1 species
UACGAAGGGGGCUAGCGUUGUUCGGAAUUACUGGGCGUAAAGCGCGUGUAGGCGGGCCGUUAAGUCGGGGGUGAAAGCCCAGAGCUCAACUCUGGAACUGCCUUCGAUCCUGGCGGCCUGGAGCAUGAUAGAGGCGAGUGGAAUUGCGAGUGUAGAGGUGAAAUUCGUAGAUAUUCGCAGGAACACCAGUGGCGAAGGCGACUCGCUGGAUCAUUGCUGACGGUGAGACGCGAAAGCGUGGGGAGCAAACAGG